CCUGGUUGAUCCUGCCAGUAGUCAUAUGCUUGUCUUAAAGAUUAAGCCAUGCAUGUGUAAGUAUAAACUAAUUCAGACUAUGAAACUGCGAAUGGCUCAUUAAAUCAGUUAUAGUUUGUUUGAUGGUAUCUACUACUCGGAUAAUCAUAGUAAUUCUAGAGCUAAUACAUGCAACAAACCUUGACUUCUAGAAAGGAUGCAUUUAUUAGAUAAAAGGUCGAUGCGGGCUAUGCCCAUUGCUCUGAUGAUUCAUGAUAACUCGAUGGAUCGCACGACCUUUGUGCUGGUGACGCAUCAUUCAAAUUUUGCCCUAUCAACUUUCGAUGGUAGGAUAGUGGCCUACUAUGGUGGUGACGGGUGAUCAAGAAUUAGGGUUUGAUUCUGGGGAGGGAGCCUGAGAAACGGCUACCACAUCCAAGAAAGGCAGCAGGCGCACAAAUUACCCAAUCCUGACACAGAGAGGUAGUGAUAAUAAAUAACAAUACCGGGCUCUAUGUUGGAAUGAGUACAAUCUAAAUCCCUUAAUGAGGAUCCAUUGGAGGACAAGUCUGGUGCCAACAACCAUGAUAAUUCCAGCUCUAAUAGCGUAUAUUUAAGUUGUUGCAGUUAAAAGGCCCGUAGUUGGAACUAGGGUUGGGUCAUCCGGUCCGCCUCACGGUGAGCACCGAUCUACUCGUCCCUACUGUCGAUGAUGCACUCCUGGACUUAAUUGCCCGAGUCAUUCCUCUGACGCUGUUACUUUGAAGAAAUUAGAGUGCUUAAAGCAAGCCUAUGCCUAUAUACAUUAGCAUGGGAUAACAUCAUAGGAUUUCGAUCCUAUUGUGUUGGCCUUCGGGAUCGGAGUAAUGAUUAACAGGGACAGUCGAGGGCAUUCGUAUUUCAUAGUCAAAGGUUAAAUUCUUGGAUUUAUGAAAGAUGAACAAUUGUGAAACCAUUUGCCAAGGAUGUUUUCAUUAAUUAAGAAUGAAAGUUAGGGGCUCGAAGAUGAUCAGAUACCGUCCUAGUCUCAACCAUAAAUGAUGCUGACCAGGGAUCGACGGAUGUUACUUUUAGGACUCCGUCCGAACCUUAUGAGAAAUCAAAGUCUUUGGGUUCCGGGGGGAGUAUGGUCACAAGGCUAAAACUUAAAAGAAUUGACAGAAGGGCACCACCAAGAGUGGAGCCUGCGGCUUAAUUUGACUUAACACGGGGAAACUUACCAGGUCCAGACAUAGUAAAGAUUGACAGACUGAGAGCUUUUUCUUGAUUCAAUGGGUGGUGGUGCAUGUGUCACGGGCUCCGACCUUAGACUCAGAAUCCGUGCGGCCUUAGGCUUGAAAUCUCCUCCUUCAUGCCUAAGUCAGCCUAAAAGACAAGCAUGCGGGUACUAGAACAAUGGGAAGGACUGAUUACGCAAGUUAAAGAGAAACAGGAUGAACAAGGUAGAAUGCUGGAAUAUGCUAUAUAUUCACUAAAACAGAAGUGUUUGAUGGUGUACAAUGAGGGUGGGGCAGCCCUCUAUUUAUAGUUGAGGCUCCAGCUAUACUUAAUGGCAAUAUCCCUAGAAUAAAGGCUAAAAUCAUGGGAUUAUACAGGUUACAAUCAAUCAUGAUGCUAACUCCUGAUUUUCAGGGUCAACCAAAUCUGCCAGGAUGCUCCUGCUGAUCCUGCCUACUUCCAAAAGCUUCCCUUGCGUGUCCAGCACCUUGGGUCAUUCUGGAUGUGGUGCGGGCAGCUUGUAUACCAGGCCUUGGUCUCACGAGCUGGCCUGCAAGCUAGGCAGGCAUUUUGAACUCGUUUGCUAGGCUUUACGUGCAGAUA
rnacentral:rRNA from 1 species